CACGUAGGGGGCGAGCGUUGUCCGGAUUUAUGGGGCGUAAAGAGCUCGUAGGCGGUCUGUCACGUCUGCUGUGAAAACUCGGGGCUUAACCCCGGGCCUGCAGUGGGUACGGGCAGACUAGAGUGCGAUAGGGGAGACUGGAAUUCCUGGUGUAGCGGUGAAAUGCGCAGAUAUCAGGAGGAACACCGGUGGCGAAGGCGGGUCUCUGGGCCGUAACUGACGCUGAGGAGCGAAAGCGUGGGGAGCGAACAGG
rnacentral:rRNA from 1 species